rnacentral:rRNA from 1 species
CAGGACGAACGCUGGCGGCGUGCUAACACAUGCAAGUCGAACGGGGAUAAUGACGGAAAGCUUCGGCCGGAAGUUAUAUUCGAGUGGCGGACGGGUGAGUAACGCGUGAGCAAUCUGUCCCAGACAGGGGGGAUAACACUUGGAAACAGGUGCUAAUACCGCAUAAGACCACGGUGUCGCAUGGCACAGGGGUAAAAGGAGCGAUCCGGUUUGGGGUGAGCUCGCGUCCGAUUAGCCAGUUGGCGGGGUAACGGCCCACCAAAGCGACGAUCGGUAGCCGACCUGAGAGGGUGAUCGGCCACAUUGGAACUGAGAGACGGUCCAAACUCCUACGGGAGGCAGCAGUGGGGAAUAUUGGGCAAUGGGCGAAAGCCUGACCCAGCAACGCCGCGUGAGUGAAGAAGGCCUUCGGGUUGUAAAGCUCUGUUACAGGUGACGAAGGAAGUGACGGUAACUUGUAAGGAAGCCCCGGCUAACUACGUGCCAGCCGCUGC